rnacentral:rRNA from 1 species
AGACACGGCCCAGACUCUUACGGGAGGCAGCAGUAGGGAAUCUUCCGCAAUGGACGAAAGUCUGACGGAGCAACGCCGCUGAGUGAUGAAGGUUUUCGGAUCGUAAAGCUCUGUUGUUAGGGAAGAACAAGUGCAAGAGUAACUGCUUGCACCUUGACGGUACCUAACCAGAAAGCCACGGCUAACUACGUGCCAGCAGCCGCGGUAAUACGUAGGUGGCAAGCGUUGUCNGGAAUUAUUGGGCGUAAAGGGCUCGCAGGCGGUUUCUUAAGUCUGAUGUGAAAGCCCCCGGCUCAACCGGGGAGGGUCAUUGGAAACUGGGAAACUUGAGUGCAGAAGAGGAGAGUGGAAUUCCACGUGUAGCGGUGAAAUGCGUAGAGAUGUGGAGGAACACCAGUGGCGAAGGCGACUCUCUGGUCUGUAACUGACGCUGAGGAGCGAAAGCGUGGGGAGCGAACAGGAUUAGAUACCCUGGUAGUCCACGCCGUAAACGAUGAGUGCUAAGUGUUAGGGGGUUUCCGCCCCUUAGUGCUGCAGCUAACGCAUUAAGCACUCCGCCUGGGGAGUACGGUCGCAAGACUGAAACUCAAAGGAAUUGACGGGGGCCCGCACAAGCGGUGGAGCAUGUGGUUUAAUUCGAAGCAACGCGAAGAACCUUACCAGGUCUUGACAUCCUCUGACAACCCUAGAGAUAGGGCUUUCCCUUCGGGGACAGAGUGACAG